rnacentral:rRNA from 1 species
AAUGAACGCUGGCGGCAUGCCUAACACAUGCAAGUCGAACGAGACCUCCGUGACUAGUGGCUCACGGGUGCGUAACGUGUGGGAACCUGCCCUUAGGCUCGGAAUAAUACUUCGAAAGGGGUGCUAAUACCGGAUAACUUCUUCGGAUACCAGAUUUGUCGUCCUUGUAGGGGCGCGGGUUGUUUUCACCGGUCGGGAGGGUAAAAGCCUACGAAGGCGAGGAUCCAUAGCUGGUUAGAGAGGAUGGUCGGCGACACUGAGAGUGGGACGCGGCCCAGACUACUACGGAAGGCAGCAGAGGCGAAUCUUGGAAUAUCGGCUAGGGGCUGAUCCAGCAAUGCUGCGUGAGUGAUGAAGGCGUGAGGGUUGUGAAGCUGUUUUACCCGGGGUGGUAAUGACGGUACCGGGAGAAUAAGCACCGGCUAACUUCGUG